rnacentral:lncRNA from 1 species
GCUGCCAUCCACACUCUCCAGAUUGGUGUCCUGGGACCACGUGGGGAUGCUGCCGUGGCUUCUUGUCUUCUCUGCUCUGGGUAUCCAGGCCUGGGGUGAUUCCUCCUGGAACAAAACACAAGCUAAACAGGUAUCAGAGGGGCUCCAGUACCUAUUUGAGAACAUCUCCCAGCUCACUGAAAAAGAUGUCUCCACCACGGUCUCUCGCAAGGCAUGGGGGGCAGAAGCUGUUGGCUGCAGUAUUCAGCUGACCACGCCAGUGAAUGUCCUUGUUAUACACCAUGUCCCUGGACUGGAGUGUCACGACCAGACAGUCUGCAGCCAGAGACUGCGGGAACUGCAGGCCCAUCAUGUCCACAACAACAGUGGGUGUGAUGUGGCCUACAAGUAAGAGCUGGGUCUGGGUCCCACGGCACAUGGUCAGUGUUGCUUCCCUGGGAUGCUUCUCCUGUCCCUUCUCAUCCCUUUUCCUCAUUUUCUGGGUUGUGGUCCUAUAUGUUUUAUAAUGAAUAAAAUAUUUAAAACCCCCAU